UUGAUACUGAAAUCCUGCUGGAAAAGCCCUUGGAGCAAGAAAGGUGACAGGAGACCAGAGAAGAGCAAUACCUGUACCUGACAUUCUCAUAAGCAAGGCUAGACAAGUAAGGACUGUUCUUCAGCAUUGUCUGAAGGGUAUAAAACCUUGCAGGUUCAACACAGGACAACAGACAAGCAGCAGAGUGCAGAAGGGACAGGCUGCACAGUGAAAUCACCUUUCUCUUCCAUUUACUACUUGCAAAGCCACAGGUAUACUGUGACAGACUUCUGCUGUCCUGCUGCCAGGAAAAUAUGAAUAUUUGGGAAACAACAAGAGCAAUCAGAAGUCUGUAAAACACAUC
rnacentral:lncRNA from 1 species